rnacentral:rRNA from 1 species
CCUACGGGAGGCAGCAGUGGGGAAUAUUGGACAAUGGGCGAAAGCCUGAUCCAGCCAUGCCGCGUGUGUGAAGAAGGCCUUCGGGUUGUAAAGCACUUUCAGUGGGGAAGAAAGCCUUGGGGCUAAUACCCUCGAGGAAGGACAUCACCCACAGAAGAAGCACCGGCUAACUCCGUGCCAGCAGCCGCGGUAAUACGGAGGGUGCGAGCGUUAAUCGGAAUUACUGGGCGUAAAGCGCGCGUAGGCGGUCUGAUAAGCCGGUUGUGAAAGCCCCGGGCUCAACCUGGGAACGGCAUCCGGAACUGUCAGGCUAGAGUGCAGGAGAGGAAGGUAGAAUUCCCGAUGUAGCAGUGAAAUGCGUAGAGAUCGGGAGGAAUACCAGUGGCGAAGGCAGCCUUCUGGACUGACACUGACGCUGAGGUGCGAAAGCGUGGGUAGCAAACAGGAUUAGAUACCCUUGUAGUC